rnacentral:rRNA from 1 species
UACGGGGGAAAGCAGGGGAUCGUAAGACCUUGCACUAUUGGAGCGGCCGAUAUCGGAUUAGCUAGUUGGUGGGGUAACGGCUCACCAAGGCGACGAUCCGUAGCUGGUUUGAGAGGACGACCAGCCACACUGGGACUGAGACACGGCCCAGACUCCUACGGGAGGCAGCAGUGGGGAAUUUUGGACAAUGGGGGAAACCCUGAUCCAGCCAUCCCGCGUGUGCGAUGAAGGCCUUCGGGUUGUAAAGCACUUUUGGCAGGAAAGAAACGUCAUGGGUUAAUACCC